CCCCUCCACACACCGACACACACACACACACCCUCCUCCUCUGCUUUCCCUCUAACGCUACACAUAUUCUAUCAUUGCCUCAGCUCGCUCCCAAAACCUUUUUUCCUCUCCUUUCUCGUAUAUUCACGUUUUUUUAUUAUAUUAUUUAAAGGCGUUUAUCCGAAAAUUCACUUUGUAUCACAAUUUUGCCUUUUUUUGUUAUUUAUUCUCACUUAAACCCUAUAAUAUAGUUUAUAACCCUAUAUUCGUCUCUGGUCAGAUGAAUCCAGCUGCAACACGAUCAAAUCCAGCUGGUAAUCUAACAAUAAACAGUUAAGAAAUGUCGUUUUGGUUAGGUGUUAAUUACUAUAUUAAAAUUAGCUCCAGGUUGAUAUUUUUGAUCAAUUCUGGCCUUUUUCCUUCAUCCAAAUGUGAGCAACAACUAGGAAAGAGAACACAGACGAAGAUCUACUUUGGAUCCAAGUUUCCGGCCGAAACUUCGCAAUAAUCGUUAAAUGUUAGGUUGUAUUCCCGGUCAAAGACUCUCUGGGAAAAGGAAAGAGGAUACGAUGCAGUCUUGGAAGUGGGACUCUGUGGUUGGAGGCAGCAGAGCCACCCUGUGAGUCCUCCUCAGACCACAUGGCUGAUGCGCGUAACGCAGCUCACGCGCUCAGGUUGUCGGUGUGCAGAGUUCGGCUGAUCCGCUCCUGUCAGGAACGAGACCCGGGGCUCCGAUUUUCCUCCACACCACAUUCACAUCACACACACACGUGCACGACAAGAAGCCCCUCGUGCACGCUCUCACACACUCCCACACUUGCCUAUCGAUUUGCAUGUGACUUCAUCAGUAAAAGAGCGAGAACCGAGUUCCAAAAACAAGAGUGAAAAGAGGCAAACGGGUAUGAAAAAUCAAAAAGAAAAGAUGGACAAACAAAGUGGGGGUAAAGAGUAGCAGAAGGAACGGAGGCAGGGCGGAGGGAUCGCACAUUUCACACACAGAGAGAGACGAUCGGAGAACAAAACUGCCCCCAUCCAGAAGAGGAUUUUUGGUUUUUAUUACCGUGGUUAACACACGGCGGUGACGAAGCCCCUUUUUGGAUGUGGCGAGUGUCAAAUCUGUGAAAAAAGCCCAAAAAACCAGAAAGCGAGAGGCGCUCCCCUCGCCUCCCCGGACUCUCACGGACCUACAGGCUGGACUUGGAGCACCCUUUCCGGGCUGCGCUCAUGUGGAGCCGCCGCUGCUCUCCGUCCGCUCACCGCAGCGUUUCCUCCCAACAUUUGUGCCUAAAAACACGUUUCUCAACAACCACAGCCCCGGUCACAGAUCCCCCCCGGUCCCACCGAAAAGCACAUAUCUGUCUGAAAACCGUGCUGCUGCUUUUUUUCCUCCAACGAUCAGCACGCUCGGAGUGGAUCGCCUGUCUCUGUUUCUUAUCUGUGAGGACGAGAGGACGGACGCUCGUGUAAACACAGGAGUCGGGUGUCCGGCUCUGCCUGUGUCUAGGGUGGAUAGGGCAGCACAGCCAGGUGCAAUGGGAGCGCCCUCUUAUGUUCAGCCUGACCGCCGGGAUCAAGCUGCAGCGCCUGCGGAUGCGCCGCUCUCCUCUUCCUCUCCAGAUCAGACUUUCAAAAAAAUAUCGAAAUCAAGUCAGGAGUGGGCAGUUUUAUACGCUAGAAAUUUAAUCACGUGUCUAAACGUUUAAAUGUUUUAAUUCAAAUCCUCUCAACUUUUAAAAGUGACAGAAAAAGACGUUUGAUGUGAGGAAAAGCAAACGUGCGUCACAGAUCAGACUUGAACUUGACAUUAUAUAGCAGGACGUUCUGCAUACAUGUUGCAUAAAUUAUAAGAAUAUUAUCUUGAUAUUUUCUAUAAAAAAAUUAAAAAAACAUGUUUUAAUGCUUUUUGUGUCUACAUAAUAAAAAAUGUCUUAUUUUAAAUAUUUUACUUCACCCUUUUUUCCCUUAACCCUUUCUCCAAAAUAUUCCAGUCCUCUGUGUUUUUUCAUCUUUUUUAAGUCCUCGUGUCACGUUCGCUUCACGGAAAAUGUUUUUGAAUGAAAAUGCAUCUCAAUGUAGUAAAUAUUUAGUUUGCCCAAAUGCAGAGCAGGGAAUUUCCGUUAUUUUUGCAGCAUCUUUGUCAUAUUUUUGCAGGAUUCGACCACAUGUUACAUCAUUCUGCAGGAUUUUUCUGUUACAAAUUCAGAGCAUCCUUACUGUAAAACCCACUCUCACUGUUUUCCAACUCGUGUCUUUUCUGUUUUUUAUGCUGAAUAUUUUUGUCUACGUUUGAAGAUGAAAACCCCCUUUUGUCUGUAAGAAAUCUUAUUAUUUUUGCAGUGAAAUGCGUUUUAUUUGUCUGGAUUUUAUGAUUUACAUUUAUUUGAACACGUUGUACAAAAAUAUUCGUUUAUUUAUCUAAAUAAAGAUGCACCACCUCA